UUACCAAGUCUUCAUACCCCGUCAAGUAUGAGAGAACGUUCACGAUAGGGUUCUUUAUGAACUCGAUCCAUCCACCAUCUCCCAAGAUAUCUAGUGAGGCUGUCACCUUAUCUGUUUAUUAGAUCACAUCCCUUUCCUAUUUAUCCUUAAUCUUCGUUACCAAAUUAAACACAAUCACAUAAAUAACGAACAUGUACCCGGUAAUACAAUCAUGUCUUAAAUCCUAAAAUCACACAGUGGUCAAGUAAUACAGUAAUACAUG
rnacentral:lncRNA from 1 species